ACUCUCAUAAUAUUCAAUAAGCUGAACAAAAUAUAAACAUGAAAAUUUGUUAUGAUAAUACAAAUAUGCAUACUCACAAAAUCCAAAUUGAAACUUUGAACAUUUGAUAAUCAUCUAGUCUAUAGCAAACCUCCACAAGAAUUCUUCAAAAAGAAUGCUUCAAUUUUUCUGGUUCAAUCAAUAUUGUUACAAAAACUACAACCUAGAAUUGAAAAUUUUUGGGACGUCAGCACACGGUGUCACUCUUCUUGCCUGACCGGACAGGUUGCGAAAAACUUUCAAAACUUCUGCUUGCCACAAAAAAAUAAAGCAAAAUGACUUUAUCAUGCAUAAUAAGAUGACAAUAUAUCAGAUGAAAACACAUUAAAGCAACUGGAAGAUGAAAUUGUUCCAAGCUCUAUAAAUAUAAU
rnacentral:lncRNA from 1 species